AAGUCGUAACAAGGUUUCCGUAGGUGAACCUGCGGAAGGAUCAUUGAAAAUAUUGGCCGUAUGGCCGGUUUCCUUUGAAUUUCAGUGAAUUUUAGUCAGUUGCUCUGACAGAAAGGAGCUGGUUUUCUCUGGGAAUCGCGACGUGUGGAAGGUCAGGCAUGGAAAAUGAUAAGUAGCUUCUGGUUUGUCAAAAACCUCCAGCUUGCUUUGAAAAUUUUAUGCUGAUCUGCACACUGACAGAGUAGGACGUUAAAGGCGUAAGCCUUUGUACUUCUCUUUCCACCUUUUUUUUUGUUUCAUUACAAAACACGUAAAACUUUUAGUCUGAUGAGUUCAAAGUUUCAAAAUCCGCUUUGGAUUUGUAAUCUUUGUGCAAAUUUUAUACAACUUUUAACAAUGGAUCUCUUGGCUCUC
rnacentral:misc_RNA from 1 species